AUUGAACGCUGGCGGCAGGCCUAACACAUGCAAGUCGAACGGAACCUUCGGGUUUAGUGGCGAACGGGUGAGUAAUGCCUAGGAAUCCGCCUAUUAGUGGGGGAUAACGAAUCGAAAGGUUCGCUAAUACCGCAUACGUCCUACGGGAGAAAGAGGGGGAUCUUCGGACCUCUUGCUAAUAGAUGAGCCUAGGUCGGAUUAGCUAGUUGGUGAGGUAAAGGCUCACCAAGGCGACGAUCUGUAGCUGGUCUGAGAGGAUGGCCAGCCACACUGGAACUGAGACACGGUCCAUACUCCUACGGGAAGCAGCAGUGGGGAAUAUUGCACAAUGGGGGAAACCCUGAUGCAGCCAUGCCGCGUGUGUGAAGAAGGCCUUCGGGUUGUAAAGCACUUUCAGCGAGGAGGAAAGGUUGGUAGCUAAUAACUGCCAGCUGUGACGUUACUCGCAGAAGAAGCACCGGCUAACUCCGUGCCAGCAGCCGCAGUAACAC
rnacentral:rRNA from 1 species